UACGUAGGGUGCAAGCGUUGUCCGGAAUUAUUGGGCGUAAAGAGCUCGUAGGCGGUCUGUCGCGUCGGCUGUGAAAUCCCGGAGCUCAACUCCGGGUCUGCAGUCGAUACGGGCAAACUGGAGUACUGCAGGGGAGACUGGAAUUCCUGGUGUAGCGGUGAAUGCGCAGAUAUCAGGAGGAACACCCGGUGGCGAAGGCGGGCUCUCGGUCGGAGU
rnacentral:rRNA from 1 species